CAGCCGCCGCGGGAAUACGAAGGGUGCAAGCGUUACUCGGAAUUACUGGGCGUAAAGCGUGCGUAGGUGGCGUGUUAAGUCGAAUGUGAAAGCCCCGGGCUCAACCUGGGAAUGGCAUCCGAUACUGGCAGGCUAGAGUUCGAUAGAGGGUAGUGGAAUUCCAGGUGUAGCGGUGAAAUGCGUAGAGAUCGGGAGGAACAUCAGUGGCGAAGGCGGCCAUCUGGGACAACACUGACGCUGAGGCACGAAAGCGUGGGGAGCAAACAGGAUUAGAUACCCGCGUAGUCCCUGUCUCUUAUAC
rnacentral:rRNA from 1 species